GUUCAUUUCGUCGUCGUUCGCGUGUCUCCAGAUUUGCUGCCGACGAUUGCCAUAUCUGCCGCCGUCGUCGUUUGUCAUUCCUUCAGUCGCCGUUCGUCGUUUGUUCCGUCGUCGAACGAUCACUAGAUCUGGACAAGUUUGGUUUGAUACACCAGAUCUGGACAAGGUUCGCAGAUAAUCAAUUCGCCAGAUCUGAACGAAUUUGGUUUCUACUAAGUACAGGAAGAGGAGAUUCAAGAAGACAGCAAAGCCUCACCGUGGACGGAAAAGAAAAGGCCGAAAAAGAGAGAAAAGUGGCCGACUAGGAAAGCGUUCAAAGUGCAAGGCUAAAUGGUUUGUGUCGUGUUUAGUUGGGCUUCAGCCUUCUGCUUUCCUCUGUAAUAUUCUUUCCGUGUGUUACUGGACAUUGAUAAUAAUUUGCCUUCAGGAGUUCUGGGAGUUGAGAGAUCUGCUAAUCAACAUCCCAUUUCAGAUGGCUCUAACUUCUCCAGGAUUCGACUUCAUUCUUAUUUCCUUUUAUCUCUGUUUCUUUCUUACUGUUUGUUCCUUUAACAUCAGUUGUAUUGUUCUGAGUUUAUAUACCAGCAGUUGCUUCACAAACUUCUACAUUUGUAAUUGACAGGAGCCCUACUCCUGAAAGGCCAAUAAACAGCCCCAGGAGCAAUCAUCAUUAGAAAGUUGAAAAAAAUAGGAAAUUGAACCUAUUGCCUGACCUUCAAUUCUAUAUUCUUUUCUGACUGGUUGGCAGCUUACAUGUCUUCUCCUUGCCACAUUGAGCUGAUUUUACAUGUCUUCUCCUGGCCACAUUGAGCUAAUUUUGUCCGAGAAAGAAGAGCCUGUUAAGAAGGAGCCCGAAACUCAGCUGGCGACUUGCAAACCUAAGAAAGGUCAAGCUAUCCGUAGUGGCGCUUCCUCUUGAAUGGCAAAAGUAUAAAUUCAGUUGUGGGUUUUUGCUGUGCCAUUUCUUUUUUGAAGUGAGUUUAAUUAUUGAUCACUAUAUAGAACGAGGAAUUAUUAUUUAGAUGUUUCGUGUGACCAUGUUAUAUUUGGAACCUUUUCUACUUCAUCUGAUUGUCUUGCCUUUUUAAUCAGAAGACUCUUGGGAUUUCUGUGGGAUAAACUAAUCUGUUAUUUUUAGCCGUGGUUAUUUCUACUUGAUCAACUAGGCAGAGAUACUGCUGAAUCAUCUGACGAACUAAAUGGUGUGCUUGCACGUGCCAUUAUGAUUUUGUUUAGCUUCAUAAUUUCAUAUAAAAUAAUGUGCUCCAAUUUUAAAAUGUAUAGUUAAGUUCCUUGUUUCAGUAGAAGAGUUGUUUGUCAUUUUAUGCCCUCUUUCAACCUUUUGUGGUGCUCAAGGUGGUAGUCUUAUAAAGAUGCCUAUAACCAGACAUUGUUGAAGUUGGGGGUCUGUUCAAGAAGAAUUAUGAAGGGAUCAAUACUUACCAAAUGGAGAGGGACAGUAAACUCGUAAUGUUUGUAAAAUCAUA